UCCGCUAAACUUUGUUCCCCUUUUUGUAAUAAUAAUAUCAAUUGGGCAACCCCAGAGAAAGGCGGAAGAGGAACACUGAGACUAGAGUUAAUGCCGCCAACCCUUGAUUCACGUGAUUUGUUUUCAAUUAAUUUCUCUCUUCAUUCAUGUCGAAGUAUAGGUAGUUUAUCCAUCUAUCAGCCCGUAAGUAGUGUGGGUAUGAGCAUUGGGAUGUGCGCACUGUGCAGACAGUGAGGGCUGAAUCCUCACUACCUAGUUUCUCUCAAUGCAAUGCCUUAUGUAGCGGGGCUGAAAGUUGGAGUUGUAAAAACUGAAAUUUAGUAAGAGCUACUCCCACAGUUAUGAUGGUUUGGGCCAAGCUAAGGAAGUGGUGUAGCUUAUUAGCAUUAGCAUUGUGGGCAGUUGCCAUGGGGAUUUGCCAAGGAGCCCUGGUAAUCAACUUCACUCAGACUCCGCACAACCCCACUAAUGUGAGGGAUGCGUUUUUUAGAUAUACUGUAGCAGACGAGAGAGGUAGAAAUCCCUGUGAGGAUAAGGAUAUUAACUGCACCUUCACAUGUCAGCAGGUGGACGCAAAGCGUUUGUUUCCAUGUCCUGAUAAAUUUGCCUUCAUAAAAAAUGUAUCAGCAAACCAAGAGCACACUUUUAACUUGAAUGUUAAAACAUCAUUUGGGGAGCACACCUCGUCUAGCUACAGGUGGUCUGUCGAUACAAUAUCCCCCACAGCUUCUGUCAGCACUCAAGAGAAUUUUACAGGUGCUGCGAAUGUUUUAGUAAGCAUCAGAUUCAGCGAACCUUGUCCUGGUCGUGGAGGUUUUAAAUGUACAAGUGUGAGAGAUUGUGAUCUUACAGUAAAUGGCCCUGCUGAAGUAAUACCAUCUUCUUUAAGAAAGAUUGAAGCUGGCUUGAAAUACAACAUUCUUGUUGCUUUCUCUGUUCAAACUCUGUUUGGUAGAGUUGUUUUGAGCUUGGCAAGAGAUAUCUGUACUGACCAAGCAGGGAAUCCUUUUAUGAGGAAAGAGAAUUCCAGUUUUGUUAUUCAUUUUGCAGAUAAGAGACCAGUUUAUGUCAACUUAUGGACAUCAAUCCCAGAGUUACAAAUGAAUAUUAAUAAUGAACUGCGGACCGUAGAAGCUACAAACAAAGUAGAUAGUCUGAAAGUCUUUUUGGAUUUUAAUAAUCCGAUAGUUAAUUCAACUGCAGAGGUUCUGAGUGUGUUGCACUUGCAACCUAAUACUGGGAUACUUACGCCCAUUCAUCGUAAAAGUCAUGGGAAUCGAAGGUUUGGUUUUCAAAUCACAAACCUAGCUAGUGUAGCAGCUGUUACAGUAAACCUUCAGUCAAACAGCCUUCUUAGCAGAGCAGGGAUAGCUGUUUCACCUCCUGUGCCAUUGGCAUUUCUUUAUGAUAUGAAAAGACCUCAAGUACAUCUCAGUACAAGUUCACCUGGAAAGACUAAAGCACACGUUAUUACAAUUAUGAUAGACUUUACGGAGCCUGUGUUUGAGUUUUACUCCUCUGGUAUUGCAGUUCAUGGUGGGAGGAUUGCAAGAUUUAAAGAGCUAUCCAUGUCCUCAUAUGUGGUAAACGUAAUAGUUGCAUUCGAGAAUGUUGUAACAGUAUUCAUUCCAGAAAAUAAGGCAACCGACAUUGCUGGAAAUCUGAAUCUUGCAUCAAAUCGAUUGCAAGUCAGGCAUUAUUCUGUGCCUGCAAUGUCCAUUGCAUUGCAUUCAUUUACAGCUGCCGGUCUUAUAGCUACCUCUUUUGCUGCUGGUGUUCUUGCUAUCUCCUCAGCUACUCUAGCAGCUACAGGAACUCUAACAAGUGGGAUAGCAGGUUCCAUUAUUGCUGAUCCAUCGAGAAACCUUUUGGGAAUGGCUGGGCAUUUACAAGUAUUUGCCUUUUCGAGUUGGUUGUCUGUCAGUUUGCCUAUAGAAUAUCAUGAGACCACCAUGGGUCUUAGGUGGCUCAUUCCUCAUGCUAAGCUGCCCUGGAAAAGACAUGAGACCUUAAUAAGUAACUUUGAACCUCAAUUUGUGGUUGGCAUUCCUACCAUGUCGACAGUCAAUCCCAAGCGCAAUUUGAUAUCUGACAAAUUUAAGUAUUAUCAUAAAAGAGACCAUUAUUUACUUGAUUCUACUUUGCAAUACUCACUAUUCAUUAAAAAACUAUGUGCAGAAAGACAUUCUACUUUAGAAUGCUGCAUGAGUUUUAUACAGGAGCACAUUCAUGGUCAGAAACUCAUUUGGCACAAGGGUGGUCAAAGGAUGUUUUCAGGUUUGCAGAUACCAUCGUUGGAUGCUUGUAAUUAUGAAUUACAACAAUCUAGGAAUGUAAUGCAUACUGCUAGAGGAUAUAGGGAGCGGAAGCUAGGAGCAAAUUCCACUAUGUAUGGACCAGCUCUUGAAUUAAGAGAAUAUAUUCGCUACUUUAUAAAUCAAAGUGAAUGGUUAUCAGCGUCGAAACUCUUACAUGGUGGAAAACACUACACAGGAUGGCAGGAUUUUGGAAUGAAUAUGUUCUGGCUUGGAGUUGUAGCUGGGGCCUUAUUUGCUCUGCAUGUAUUGAUAGUCCUUUUUCUGAAGUGGCGAACAAAAACAUCUCUCCGAGGAGCUCUUUCUUUUCCUAGAUUUGAGCUUUUCAUACUGAUACUUACACUUCCUUCCAUGUGUCAAGCAUCUGCAUUCAUCAUCAGAGGUGGUACCACUGCAGGCAUCACUAUAGGAGUAGUAUUACUUGCAUUGCCAGCAGCCUUUCUCCUAUCAGUUUUUCUUUUCCUCAUAGUUGCAGUGUUUAUGGGUGAUCUUUCUCAAUACAAAGAAAUAAGAAGUGAAAACGAGAAAUUUGGUUUGUGCAGUAAAUUUAUUGCUGUAUUCGUGGGUAGGAAUGCAAUUGGCAAGUGGUUUCGCAAAGAAGGAUUACCGUCAUCUUUUCUGGCUAGGUUUGGCAUUUUAUUUGAAGAUCGUAAAGGUCCUGCAAAGUUGAUAUUUGUUAAUGAAGAUAAUCCAAAGUGGAUUGACAGUGGUGCAAGUGGUAUUGGAAGGAUGAGGGCUGUUAAUUCUGAAGAUGAUAUCGAAGAGAGAACACCAGCACAAUUUCAAAGGGUUAUUGGAUCUGCCAGGUCGGCAUACUUUAUUCUUGAUCUCUUUAGAAGAAUAACAUUAGGAAUUAUUUUUGGGGCAUAUCCCUUGUCAGAUCAUUCCUGGAGCCAAACAAGUAUAGCAUUUGGUUUUACUUUAGUUCAAUUGUUCUAUCUGGUAUUACUGAAGCCAUACAUCAGAAGAGGAGUGCAAAUAGUUGAAAGUAUCUGCCUUCUGUGUGAGGCAGGGGUUUUUGCUGCUAGUCUUGUGCUCCUAGCUGAUGGGAGUCCCUCUGAGGAUCGCAAAUGUAUUGGCAUCUUUAUGCUUGUACUUAUGUUUGUCAGUUUUGUCUCUCAACUGAUUAAUGAAUGGUAUGCUUUAAUGAAUUGCCUUGUAAGAUUGUCACCAUCUCAGAAGCCAUCCCUCAAGCUAGGGCUCAAAAUGGUAGUACGAGGAAUAUUUUUGCCUUUGAUACCUCAGCAUUAUUGGUCGAAGUUCAUAACCCCAGAACCCUCACAACCCAAGAUUGGCUUAGUUCCAGUUGUUCCAUUUAGUCCCGAGGCAGAACAUGAAAAACGAGUGCCUGAGAUAUCUCAGAUUGAACCUUCAUUUACUGUUGCUGAAGACGUUCCUACAUACCAUCCUGGGUCUCCUUGUUUCAUAGACCCACGAACGGUUCCUCCUGCAAUUAGUGAGGGUGAAGUUCAAGGACAAGAUUCAGGUGAAAUAAGAGCGGAGUCUUCUCCAAAGGCUGGUCAAACCUGGAGUCAGUGGGGAAGAGCAAGAGCAUUAGAAGGAAAAAGAUCAAAAGGAAUCAAAUUUGACCCCAGAACAAGCGAGUUGAAAAUGCUAAGAGAACUAGCUAAAGCAAGCUUUCCAGGAAUCAGGAAAGAUGAAGAUUCAGCAGAAAUAGCAGGUUCUGUGGAGCUGACUAAGGCUAGUCCUAGUUCCACUCCAAAAGAAGUGAUGAAUGUAAGCACAGGUUCAGGACUAAGGGCGAAUUACUCUGCAAAAUCUUCUUCAGAGGAUGAUUCAGAAACUCCCUCACCAAUGGAGUCUCCCCUUCAGGUUCCAGCCAUUACCAGCUUAAAAGUUCAAACUAGCGCAUUUGGCAGUAUGGAAAAGCAAUAGUGGCAGGAUACAGUAUUUCACAAUAAGCAGCAUAAUCAUGGGAGGAUUUGAACUUGGCUUUGAUAUUGUUAAGAUUUGAGUCAAACUGAUUCCAGAUCGCUCCAGUUUCUGAGCACAGUGAGACCAGGGGAUAUACAGGAAAAGUUGAUGUGACGGGUGAUAUUUUAUUCGCUCCUAGAACAUUUUUUAUCAGUUGCAUGACAGUAGUGCUUGGCAAAAUUAAUCUAGCACAUUGUAACUUAAAGAAGCAAGCAGCCAAGAUUUUUGAAAGUAUCAUGCAACUCAAGCUAGCUGAUUUGAACGUUCAAGAAUACUAACCUCCAUUGUAUUAACCACUUUGUGUUACAGCAGCAAUGCCCAGUAAUGAAAGAUCCAACAUUCAGACAGCUCUAGUGAAAUCUUGACUGUAGGAUGGUGAACGCAUGCGUCUGGGUGUCUAAAUAUUUUGUCUUCUGCACAAAUGUAAUCAAUGCCCAUUGUUGAAUCAAUGACACUGAACAGUGGUCGCAAUGCAAUUUUUUAAUUAGUACAAAAUAUAUACAUGUUCCAAUUGCUGAAUUAUGAACACUGAACAGUGGUCACAAUUGUUAAAUUAUAGUCUCAGUCGUAAACCAAAUCUGUUUGUAUCAGCG